rnacentral:rRNA from 1 species
GAAAAGAAACUAACAAGGAUUCCCCUAGUAACGGCGAGUGAAGCGGGAAGAGCUCAAAUUUGAAAUCUGGUAGCCUUCGGUUGCCCGAGUUGUAAUCUAGAGAAGUGUUUUCCGCGUUGGCCCAUGUACAAGUCCCUUGGAACAGGGCGUCAUAGAGGGUGAGAAUCCCGUCCUUGACAUGGACCCCCAAUGCUUUGUGAUACACUUUCAACGAGUCGAGUUGUUUGGGAAUGCAGCUCAAAAUGGGUGGUGAAUUCCAUCUAAAGCUAAAUAUUGGCGAGAGACCGAUAGCGAACAAGUACCGUGAGGGAAAGAUGAAAAGCACUUUGGAAAGAGAGUUAAACAGUACGUGAAAUUGUUGAAAGGGAAACGAUUGAAGUCAGUCAUGCUCUUUGGUUUAAGCCGUUCUGCGGUGUAUAUCAUUGAGUGGGGUCAACAUCAGUUUUGACCGCUGGAAAAGGGCAAGAGGAAGGUAGCACCCCCGGGUGAACUUAUAGCCUCUCGUCGUAUACAGUGGUUGGGACUGAGGAACGCAGCAUGCCUUUUGGCCGGGAUUCGUCCACGUACAUGCUUAGGAUGUUGACAUAAUGGCUUUAAACG